GGCCUGGUAGCACAAUGGUUAGUGCCUUUGCUCGAUUUAGAUAGUGUAUCAAUGUUUAGCAGAUGAUCCUUGUUCGAUUCGGGGUCAGGUCG